AGAGGGGCACCAGGGCUCUGGGAAGGCUCUCUGCUCUCUCUCCCUGGUGCUGUUUUCCUUCACAUCUCAUCUGUAUUCCCUCCACUCAGCUCUCCACAGCAGAGGAGGCUCUGCAAGACAGGGUGCCCGGGUGUGUGAUCUGUGAGCUCCAAUGUGGGCAAAUGGAUGGCACUGUACGUACUUGAGGGGCAGGAAGAGCACUCAGAGGAGCCCUGCUUAGGCACCCCAGGUGGAGGACAUGAAGAAGACCCAGCAGACAUGAGUGAAAACAGCUGCCUGCACAAGUUGUCCCCUAACAGGUACAGCCAAGAGUCAGAAGCACAGAGGGAGCUGGGGAAGCGACAUUUCUUACAGAGCCCACUGCUGUCCCUGUGUGAAGUGGCUCAUAUCAGCUCUCGAUUCUAUGCCGGUGUUCUGGAUUUCCUCUUGAGAUGUGCAUUUGUAUCAGCCAUCCUGUCCCCUGUGCCUCUGACGAGCUCCCUUCUGGAUGGCCUGCUGUCAUGCUGAGAUGACCCUUCACUAACAUCUGAGAAGUCCCUUUGCUGUUCUACGGUGUGGAAAACUUGUUUCCUCCAUCUCAUGUCUUCUUCCUUGCUUAAUUCCUUUGUUUAAUGAAACAAAUUAAUUCCUUUGUUAAUGAAACUUCCCAAUAGUUUCCUAAGAAAAGUGUGUAAGUGGUCAACUAUUUGCAACCUAAUAUGUCUGAAAAUUCUACAUAUACUUUUAACAUGUAGUUUGAUUGGGUAGAUGAGUCCAGUGUGGAAAUAUUUUUUCAAAAAUUAGAAGCUAUUGCACUAUUGUCUUGUAGUAUGGUGUGUUGCUUUUGAGAAGUUGUAAGCCAUUUUUUUUUAAUCCUUUGUGUGUUUAUAUCUUUUCUUCUGUUUUUGCACCUCACAACCUUUUAUUUAUUUUUUCUCAUCAAUGCAAUAAACUUUCAUGAUGACAGGGCUUGUGUGGGUCAUGCUGUUCAAUUCUGGGAAAUUUCCUUGACUGACUUUAUUGGUGAUUUCCUCCUCUCCAAUUUUUCCAUUCUCCCUCUUUGGAACUUUUUAUUAUUUGGGUGAAACAUAAUUAUUGGUCUGUAGUGGUCUUCUAAUUGUCUUUUCUCUUUUAUUUUCCAUCUGUGUC
ensembl:lncRNA